AGCGGCGAACGGGUGAGGAAUACAUGGGUAACCUACCCUCGAGUGGGGAAUAACUAACCGAAAGGUUAGCUAAUACCGCAUACGGCUCCUGGUCUGCGGAUCGGGAGAGAAAGCGAUACCGUGGGUAUCGCGCUCUUGGAUGGGCUCAUGUCCUAUCAGCUUGUUGGUGAGGUAACGGCUCACCAAGGCUUCGACGGGUAGCUGGUCUGAGAGGACGAUCAGCCACACUGGCACUGCGACACGGGCCAGACUCCUACGGGAGGCAGCAGUAAGGAAUAUUGCGCAAUGGGCGACAGCCUGACGCAGCGACGCCGCGUGGGGGAUGAAGGUCUUCGGAUUGUAAACCCCUUUCGGCAGGGAAGAUGGAACGGGUAACCGUUCGGACGGUACCUGCAGAAGCAGCCACGGCUAACUUCGUGCCAGCAGCCGCGGUAAUACGAAGGUGGCAAGCGUUGUUCGGAUUUACUGGGCGUACAGGGAGCGUAGGCGGUUGGGUAAGCCCUUCGUGAAAUCUCCGGGCCUAACCCGGAAAGGGCGGAGGGGACUGCUCGGCUAGAGGAUGGGAGAGGAGCGCGGAAUUCCCGGUGUAGCGGUGAAAUGCGUAGAGAUCGGGAGGAAGGCCGGUGGCGAAGGCGGCGCUCUGGAACAUUUCUGACGCUGAGGCUCGAAAGCGUGGGGAGCAAACAGGAUUAGAUACCCUGGUAGUCCACGCCUUAAACGAUGAAUACUAAG
rnacentral:rRNA from 1 species